AGUACAAGUGCGAGAUCGAGC
rnacentral:misc_RNA from 1 species